GGGAAACUGCCCGAUGGAGGGGGAUAACUACUGGAAACGGUAGCUAAUACCACAUAACGUCGCAAGACCAAAGUGGGGGACCUUCGGGCCUCACACCAUCGGAUGUGCCCAGAUGGGAUUAGCUAGUAGGUGGGGUAAUGGCUCACCUAGGCGACGAUCCCUAGCUGGUCUGAGAGGAUGACCAGCCACACUGGAACUGAGACACGGUCCAGACUCCUACGGGAGGCAGCAGUGGGGAAUAUUGCACAAUGGGCGCAAGCCUGAUGCAGCCAUGCCGCGUGUAUGAAGAAGGCCUUCGGGUUGUAAAGUACUUUCAGCGGGGAGGAAGGCGGUGGAGUUAAUAACUUCACCGAUUGACGUUACCCGCAGAAGAAGCACCGGCUAACUCCGUGCCAGCAGCCGCGGUAAUACGGAGGGUGCAAGCGUUAAUCGGAAUUACUGGGCGUAAAGCGCACGCAGGCGGUCUGUCAAGUCGGAUGUGAAAUCCCCGGGCUUAACCUGGGAACUGCAUUCGAAACUGGCAGGCUAGAGUCUUGUAGAGGGGGGUAGAAUUCCAGGU
rnacentral:rRNA from 1 species